rnacentral:lncRNA from 1 species
GUAAUACCCGGGCUUUUGAUGACGUGUUUAAUUGCUUAAGUUUGAGUAAUUAGGGUAUAGAUCCCUUGUUUGAUUACUUUGUACAUAGAUGAUGAGUUAUGAAGUUUUCUUUUCUUUUUUUUUUAAAAAGAUGUUGAGAUGUUCUUUUGAUGAUGUUUGGAUGAUGUGAGAUUUUAUAUCCGAAAUUGAGUUUGAGUAUUCGAAUAAUUCGAGAUAAUUAUUUGAAUGAGAACGAUGAACUCGGAAGUGAGAUCUGAGUCCGUUAAGACGUUUUUGAAAAUUU